rnacentral:pre_miRNA from 2 species
UCUUGUGGAUGAGCAAAGAAAGCGGUUUCGUGAGAUGGAUUCUACUCCUGGUGAAGAUGCUAUGAA